GUGAGUUCUCAUGUACUGUGCUGCAGAGAUAUCUACUUAAUAUAUCCAGGUCCAAAGCUCCUGUGCUCAACACCAACAGAACCAUGAUGCUCCAGGCUCCCUGUCCGGACCACAGGCUGCACUUCUCUCUGAUCUGCAACUGGUGAUUUGUUACCUGUCAGCUUUGAUGAUCAGAGUAAAGUGUGGAGAUCAAGCAGUGGAACAACAGAGAGAGAAGGAUGGCUCCUCCCACCAGUGGCAGUAAUCACCCCUUGUACUCGGGCCCUGAGGAGACCAUAUCUAAGAAGGACGCUCUUCUUUCUUCUGCCGUUUGAUCCUCAAAAGUAAAAGUGUAUAAAUUACACUGAUAGAGAGACAAACCCCAUCUGGACUGAACCCUUUCUGCUGUGGUUGCUACACAGUCAUUAAAAAUAAGGACUAAUGAUGACUGUCCUUCAUCAUAACAAGCACACCUGAAUGCCUCUCACAUAUUUUAUAAAAUAAUUAAAUCAUUAAGAAAGAAAAAAUAGAAAGAAACAACAAAAAGUCGAUUAAUUAUUUCUUGAAAAUGUCAUUUCUUUGCUUCU